rnacentral:lncRNA from 1 species
GCCAUAAGUCUGUAGUCAAGGCUUUGAGUCCCUUGUGGAGGCUCCAAGGGAUAGUGUCUGUUCCUUGCCUCUUUCAGUUUCUGGUGGUAAUUACCAUUCCUUGACUUUGGGCAGUUUAGAUCCUGUGGUGUAAGGGACUAACUGGGCCAUUUCCCUCUGCUCUUUAAAGGAUACAUGUGAGAUUGCAUUUAAGGCUGGAAGAUCAGGACUAAUUUCUCUCAGAUCUUUUUUUCCUAUAUAUUUAUUGGUGCCUUAUAAUUACACAUAAUAAUGGGAUUCAUUGUUACAUAUUCGUACAUGUACACAAUAUUGUUUUCCCAUCCUUCCCUUUCCCUCCAUCCCUUCCCCUGGCCCACAUCUUCUACUCUUUCUAGUCUCCCUUGUUUUCAUGAGGUCCCCUCACCUUUUUUGCCUUAUUUCUUUUUAGCUCUCAUAUAUUCCCUCAGAUCUUUUAAUCACAUCUUAUAUAAAACAAUCACAGUUUUGUGGGUUAGGAAUUGAAUAUCUUUGGGGGGACCACCAUUUGGACCACUAUACCUUGGUUCCUUAACUCCUACUCAAAUAAGUUUGACCUCCCUCAAAAAACAAAACCAAAAACAAAAAAACGUUAUUUUAAAUGAAAGAGGCAAAUGAAAAAUAAAAAAAGCUCAGAAA